CUCCGGUUGAUCCUGCCGGACCCGACUGCUAUCGGAUUGAGAUUUAGCCAUGCGAGUUGAACGUCUUCUGACUGCAGGAGGCGUAGCAUACGGCUCAGUAACACGUAGUCAACCUGCCCUGGAGACGCGGAUAACCCCGGGAAACUGGGAUUAAUCCACGAUAGGUCAUCUCAUCUGGAAGGAGAGAUGGCCCAAAGGGGAGCUGUGAGCAUGUUUCACUACUAUCGCUCCAGGAUGGGACUGCGGCCGAUCAGGCUGUUGGCGGGGUAAAGGCCCACCAAACCUGUAACCGGUACGGGCUUUGAGAGAAGGAGCCCGGAGAUGGACACUGAGACAAGGGUCCAGGUCCUACGGGGCGCAGCAGGCGCGAAACCUUCGCAAUGCGCGAAAGCGUGACGAGGUUAGUCCGAGUGGCUUCCGCUGAGGAGGUCUUUUGCUGGCUCUAAAAAGGCUGGAGAAUAAGGGGAGGGCAAGCCUGGUGUCAGCCGCCGCGGUAAUACCAGCUCCUCGAGUGGUCGGGGCGAUUAUUGGGCCUAAAGCAUCCGUAGCCGGUUCAGUAGGUCUUCUGCAAAAUCCAAUCGCUUAACGAUUGGCCCGCAGGAGAUACCGCUGGACUAGGAGGCGGGAGAGGUGGACGGUACUCCACGGGUAGGGGUAAAAUCCUUUGAUCCGUGGAAGACCACCAGUGGCGAAGGCGGUCCACCAGAACGCGCUCGACGGUGAGGGAUGAAAGCUGGGGGAGCGAACCGGAUUAGAUACCCGGGUAGUCCCAGCCGUAAACGAUGCGAGCUAGAUGAUCCAAUCGCAAAUCGCGAUUGGAGUGUCGCAGGGAAGCCGUUAAGCUCGCCGCCUGGGGAGUACGGUCGCAAGGCUGAAACUUAAAGGAAUUGGCGGGGGAGCA
rnacentral:rRNA from 1 species